GAUGAACGCUGGCGGCGUGCCUAAUACAUGCAAGUCGAGCGAACGGACGAGAAGUUUGCUUCUCUGAUGUUAGCGGCGGACGGGUGAGUAACACGUGGAUAACCUACCUAUAAGCCUGGGAUAACUUCGGAAAACCGGAGCUAAUACCGGAUAAUAUUUUGAACCGCAUGGUUCAAAAUUGAAAGACGGUCUUGCUGCCACUGAUAGAUGGUGCCGCGCUGCAUUAGCUAGUUGGUAAGGUAACGGCUUACCAAGGCAACGAUGCAUAGCAGACCUGAGAGGGUGAUCGGCCACACUGGAACUGAGACACGGUCCAGACUCCGACGGGAGGCAGCAGUAGGGAAUCUUCCGCAAUGGGCGAAAGCCUGACGGAGCAACGCCGCGUGAGUGAUGAAGGUCUUCGGAUCGUAAAACUCUGUUAUUAGGGAAGAACAUAUGUGUAAGUAACUGUGCACGUCUUGACGGUACCUAAUCAGAAAGCCACGGCUAACUACGUG
rnacentral:rRNA from 1 species